UAUUUUUAAAGUAUCUGCUCUAUUAAACUGCUUAAAACAAAUUUCACACUUGUGAGGUUUUUCUCCAGUGUGCACUCUCAAAUGGAGUUUUAAAUGAACUGCUUGACUAAACUGCUGAAAACAAAUUUCACACUUGUGAGGUUUUUCUCCAGUGUGCACUCUCAAAUGGACUUUCAAAUGACAUGCUUGACUAAACUGCUGAAAACAAAUUUCACACUUGUGAGGUUUUUCUCCAGCGUGUAUUCUCAAAUGUACUUUCAAAUGUCCUGCUCGACUAAACUGCUGAAAACAAAUUUCACACUUGUGAGGUUUUUCUUCAGUGUGCACUCUCAAAUGCGCUUUCAAAUUACCUGCUCGGCUAAACUGCUUCAAAC